rnacentral:lncRNA from 1 species
GUAGACCACUCGUAGUGGAAGUUCAGAGUAGGCCGAUCACGGUAGAAGUUCAGCUAUCGCUGGAGCUUGGCUGGAAUCCUAAAGGCGGUCGACCAUCGUAGAAACGUGGAAAGAGCUUGGUUGCUGUAGAAAUCUCAUUGUCGGGGAAGCUCGGAUGCUGACGAAGCCCGGAAGAAGUUUGGGGGUAGUCGAUUGCUGUAGAAGGAUGGCUAACAGCGAAGCUCAAAGGGCCUUUGGGGCAGCCCGAUGGGUGAACAUCGAGGCCCAUCGUCGAAGAAGUCUGGACGGUCG